rnacentral:rRNA from 1 species
UGCAAGUCGAACGGAAAGGCCCAGCUUGCUGGGUACUCGAGUGGCGAACGGGUGAGUAACACGUGGGUGAUCUGCUGCACUCUGGGAUAAGCCUGGGAAACUGGGUCUAAUACCGGAUAUGACCAACUGUCGCAUGGUGGUUGGUGGAAAGCUUUUGCGGUGUGGGAUGGGCCCGCGGCCUAUCAGCUUGUUGGUGGGGUAAUGGCCUACCAAGGCGACGACGGGUAGCCGACCUGAGAGGGUGAUCGGCCACACUGGGACUGAGACACGGCCCAGACUCCUACGGGAGGCAGCAGUGGGGAAUAUUGCACAAUGGGCGCAAGCCUGAUGCAGCGACGCCGCGUGAGGGAUGACGGCCUUCGGGUUGUAAACCUCUUUCACCAGGGACGAAGCGUGAGUGACGGUACCUGGAGAAGAAGCACCGGCCAACUACGUGCCAGCAGCCGCGGUAAUACGUAGGGUGCGAGCGUUGUCCGGAAUUACUGGGCGUAAAGAGCUCGUAGGCGGUUUGUCGCGUCGUCUGUGAAAUUCUGCAACUCAAUUGCAGGCGUGCAGGCGAUACGGGCAGACUUGAGUACUACAGGGGAGACUGGAAUUCCUGGUGUAGCGGUGAAAUGCGCAGAUAUCAGGAGGAACACCGGUGGCGAAGGCGGGUCUCUGGGUAGUAACUGACGCUGAGGA